AAAGACUUAGUCCUAACCUUACAGUUAAUUCUUGCUAAACAUAUACAUGCAAGUAUCCGCGCACCAGUGUAAAUGCCCUUAAUCUCUUGCUUGCAAGACAAAGGAGCGGGUAUCAGGCACACCUAUGAUUGAAUCGUAGCCCAAGACGCCUUGCUUAGCCACGCCCCCACGGGUAUUCAGCAGUAGUUAACAUUAAGCAAUGAGUGUAAACUUGACUUAGUUAUAGCAGCACUUAGGGUCGGUAAAUCUUGUGCCAGCCACCGCGGUCACACAAGAGGCCCAAAUUAACCGUAAUACGGCGUAAAGAGUGGUACCAUGUUAUCCCGUCAACUAAGAUCAAAGUGCAACUGAGCUGUCGUAAGCCC
rnacentral:rRNA from 1 species